UUGGACCUAGGGCUGGCCUAAGUGAUAAAACUGAACCCUAAUCUGUCCUAACACACUCACCCUCACUCUUCACAGAAUCAGCCGUCACGCCUUCUACUAUGAGAGAGAGAACUCUGCUAGGUUCAACCGCCUUUCGCAUCCAGUGGACUCGAGCCAGUUUUCUGCUUCUCUUCCUAAGCAUACCCUAGAGCUGUGGUGCCCGUGGUUACUGUUGAGUCCUGUACUAGUAUAUUCCAGAUGCGAGAGGUAACCAUGGUCAACAAGGGAGAGACGAAUCCGCUGCUUAGCCUUUUUGGGCUGGACCUUCUGUCCUUCUUGGGCUAUCUUUGUGGCUACGACCCAUGUACUUGUCUGCCGUUAUAUUUCUCUAGGAACCCAGUGAACUGCUUAAUAUGUCUCUUUAGUUUUUGGUGGCAUUGUGGUAUGCCUUGGUCUGUAUGGCGUUAUAUUUAAACUCUAAGACUGUCUCAUUAUAUUAUAAUUGUGUGACGUUUUUUUAAUUACGUAUAUUAAU